rnacentral:rRNA from 1 species
UACAGAGGGGGCAAGCGUUAUUCGGAAUUAUUGGGCGUAAAGGGCGCGUAGGCGGCUUUUCAAGUGACGGGUGAAAUCCCUCGGCUUAACCGAGGAACUGCCUGUCAGACUGGAAGGCUUGAGACCGGGAGAGGUGAGUGGAAUCCCCAGUGUAGCGGUGAAAUGCGUAGAUAUUGGGAGGAACACCAGUGGCGAAGGCGGCUCACUGGACCGGAACUGACGCUGAGGCGCGAAAGCGUGGGGAGCAAACAGG